AAUGCCACACUUCGGGAACAAUAUCCGGCUCUAUACAACAUUGUGCGUCAUAAGGGCGAUACUAUCGCCAUGGUAAUGGAAUCAUUUCUACCAAAUGUGACGUUCAGAACAGAUUUAAUUGGACCCAGACUCCAAUCGUGGUACAUCCUGCUCCAUCGGUUUUCCACGGUGCAAUUGUCACAUGGGUCUGAUGUAUUUCGAUGGAACCUACAUAAGAAUGGACAAUUCCCAGUGGAGUCUAUAUAUAGAGCGUGA
rnacentral:rRNA from 1 species